AGUGAACGCUGGCGGUAGGCCUAACACAUGCAAGUCGAACGGCAGCACAGUAAGAGCUUGCUCUUACGGGUGGCGAGUGGCGGACGGGUGAGGAAUACAUCGGAAUCUACUUUUUCGUGGGGGAUAACGUAGGGAAACUUACGCUAAUACCGCAUACGACCUACGGGUGAAAGCAGGGGAUCUUCGGACCUUGCGCGAUUGAAUGAGCCGAUGUCGGGUUAGCUAGUUGGCGGGGUAAAGGCCCACCAAGGCGACGAUCCGUAGCUGGUCUGAGAGGAUGAUCAGCCACACUGAAACUGAGACACGGUCGAGACUCCUACGGGGGGCAGCAGUGGGAAAUAUUGGAAAAGGGGCGAAAGCCUGAUACAGCCAUACCGCGUGGGUGAAGAAGGCCUUCGGGUUGUAAAGCCCUUUUGUGGGAAAAAAAAAGCAGCAGGUUAAUACCCCGCUGUUCUGGGGGUACCAAAAGAAUAAGCCCGGGCAAACUUCG
rnacentral:rRNA from 1 species